rnacentral:lncRNA from 1 species
AGCAUUGCAGAGCUGACAGAUCCUGCCCCAGCUUCUAGCCCUCCCCCUGCAUGGAGGCCCCUCCCCUGGUUCACGCCUUCCUGAGCUUGGAAACCAGAAACUCCAGACUCCCUGCCAGGCACAGCCCAGUGGCGUCUUCUCCUCCUCUUCAAUGGCAUGACUAAUCCAAGAGCUACGGAUAGUCUUAGUUCAUGUGCUUGGGGUUGGUCUAAUCCAAAAUAGGAAAGUCUAUGGUAGCUGCUUCCCAGCUAUUUUGUACUGGGGACAAUCUGGUCCUGUCUCACUCAGGACGUUUGAUCUAAGCCUUCCAUACCCUCUCCACCUCAUCCCAAGUCUUAUAGGUUGCAAUGCUGAUACUUGAACCACCCGCUUUCAGAGAUUUGGGGCCACCUGGAGGUAAAGAGGUGGGGCUGAGAGGUGGUGCUGGUGCUACUCUGUGGGAACUAGUACCCACAUGAGGGAACUACCCUUUCCUGUAACCCCAGAAAAAUAGCUCCAGGCAUGGAAAUGUCUAGUGCAAACCCACAUCAAGGGUGUCUGUUCGCGUUUGAAAUUCAUCGGCACCAGAAAGAGCUAACAUGUUGGCAGUAUCUAGAAAACCAUCAACAUGAGCAUGGGACAGUUCGCUUUGCAGCUGAUCCCACCAUAGUGAGGAGGACGUCUUGCUCUGUUACCUAUGCUGAAGUGCAGUGUUACAAUCAAAGUUCACUGUAGCCUUAACACCUGGGCUCAAGUGAUCCUCUUGCCUCAGCUUCCUGAGUGGCUGGAAAUGCAGACACAUGCCACCGUGCCCAGCUUCUACACUUUUUAAGAAUCACAAAAUCCACUUCCAUUCUUCAAAAAUUUAUUAUUUAUUAUUAAAAAUCUCAAACAAACACAGACAUAUGGGGAUACCAGCAUUCCCCUCCUGGAUACCAGGCAGCUUCAGCCCUGGCAGGCACGAUAGAAGAAAAUACUUGUUACACAUCCUCAUCAACUCUCAGAGGGAUCCUGAGCCGUAGAUGGAGGAAACGCAGACGGAGUAAGCACAGGAUGUUUGCUUCCUGCUGCAAUAUCCCCAGGUACCUACCCAGCUGAAGGGGAUGGGAUGGUACGCCUGUGAGAAGCUACAGGCCAGGUUGGUCAACUGGGGACAAGGGAGUUCAUGGGGACACUGUGAACACAUAAAAAAAUGAGGUAAGACAAAAGAGCCAUCAAUCACAAAACUUAAAAACUGAGAAUAAUAGAGUCAAAAGGGGCCAGGGAGAAGGGAGGACAGGAGCAGUGGGUAGGAAGAGCCAGGGGAAUCAUUAGGUAGGAACUGGAUAGGAACACAAAGUAGUGGAGAGUGGCUUAGCUUUACCAUCUUACAUUUCCCGGCCACGCCUAAGUUCAGAUCCGUGUGGUGGGACAGGCAGAAGUAAUACUCACCGGGGCAAAGACAAAACCAGGUCGAGGGUCCAAAGGUGACUUCUCUUUUCCCUGAAAUCAAAGGAAAUAAAAGAAAUAAAGCUGGGCCAAGGGUCUAUUUUCAUAAUUCAAUCUCUGCACUCAGUAAACUGAGGACUCCUUUAACACUCAAUUCUAAUAACGAUUGACUAUGUCCUUUGAAUUAAGCUGGCUGCAUCUUUAAUACUCCAAACAAAGAACUUUCUCUUUGCUGCAGGAGAAAGGCAAGAACUUGGCACAUAGUACGGUGCUCUCCCUUGUCAGCAACCUCCACUCUCAAAAAAAUCCCACUCCAGGACAAUUAAAUUUAUGAUUAUACACUGGCUCAUACUCUCCCCCAGUGACAAGGUUCUUAGCUCAGCAAUGCCCUAGAUUAGGAGUCCGCAAAGUUUCUUUUAAAGGGCCAGAGAGUAGGCAAAAUCUAUCUCUGUCCCAACUACUCAACUCUGCUGUUUGUAGUGUGAAAGCAGUCACAGACAACAGAGGCACAAAUAAGCAUGGCUUAUAUAAAAACAGGUGGCAGGUCGGAUUUGAUCCACAGGCUCUCAUUUGCCAACCACUGCUCUGUAUCAUAAUGACUUCAUACGCCCAGUUUCCUGAGAGCCACCCUUGUCAAUACAUGACAGUCUCUUUCGUUUUCAAGAGAGUAACAGUAAUUGGUGCCAUAUGGGUGGGGGAGUGAGGGAAGAAGAAGCCUUACCUUAAGGACCAGAUCCCUGGCAUCCAUGAGAAGGCUGUGCCCAGCUUUUGUUCCAUUCU